UUAUUAAAAAAAUAAUAUGUUUUUUAAAUAUUUGCUAUUUGUAAUAAUGAUUUCUAAUAAUUGUAUAUCGUUUGUCAAGAAUUUUGGUAUCAUUAAAAUUUAAAUUUUCGUUCUCUUACAGCGCCAUCUAACAAUCAAAUGUAACAUAAAAUAUUUUAGAUCGAUAGAAAUAAAUGAACACAUUGUAAAUUGCUGCACGUGUUCUACGCAAUUUUAUCGUCUUUUCACAAUAAAUCGUGUACUCAAAUUUAAACAAUUUAAAUCAAACAAUUGAUAACACAAUAUGUUCGAAAAAAUGUAUAAAGGAAUUAAUAAUGUAACGGGGGUUAUAAGAGGAACGUAUUACGAUGGAUUCAAAUGGUCAAUGGUAAAAAGCAUCGCAUUUUUUGCACUGGGAGUCAAAAUUGCUUUAGAAUGCAAGGGAAUGGAUAUUAUGCCACCAGUUACAGUGUAAAACAAAUUUUAUAAAAUGAUAAAUUGUUAAGCUUAUUGACAUUGUUAAUGUUACAUUACCAUCAACAUUCAAUGAUGAAAAGUAAUAACUUUUAAUGACAUA